CGGGUGAGUAACGCGUAGGUAACCUGCCUUGUAGCGGGGGAUAACUAUUGGAACGAUAGCUAAUACCGCAUAACAAUGGAUGACCCAUGUCAUUUAUUUGAAAGGGGCAAAUGCUCCACUACAAGAUGGACCUGCGUUGUAUUAGCUAGUAGGUGAGGUAACGGCUCACCUAGGCGACGAUACAUAGCCGACCUGAGAGGGUGAUCGGCCACACUGGGACUGAGACACGGCCCAGACUCCUACGGGAGGCAGCAUG
rnacentral:rRNA from 1 species